rnacentral:rRNA from 1 species
UGGCUAUAAUGGUAAGGAAAAUCCAGUGGCGAAGGCGGCCACCUGGACAAAUACUGACGCUGAGGUACGAAAGCUUGGGGAGCGAACAGGAUUAGAUACCCUGGUAGUCCACGCCGUAAACGAUGUCAACUAGCCGUCUGUUUCCUUGAGAAGUGGGUGGCGCAGCUAACGCGCUAAGUUGACCGCCUGGGGAGUACGGCCGCAAGGUUAAAACUCAAAUGAAUUGACGGGGGCCCGCACAAGCGAUGGAGCAUGUGGUUUAAUUCGAUGCAACGCGAAGAACCUUACCAUCCCUUGACAUCCAGAGAAUUUUCUAGAGAUAGAUUAGUGCCUUCGGGAACUCUGAGACAGGUGCUGCAUGGCUGUCGUCAGCUCGUGUUGUGAAAUGUUGGGUUAAGUCCCGCAACGAGCGCAACCCCUAUCCUUAUUUGCCAGCGAGUUAUGUCGGGAACUUUAAGGAGACUGCCGGUGAUGAACCGGAGGAAGGCGGGGACGACGUCAAGUCAUCAUGGCCCUUACGGGAUGGGCUACACACGUGCUACAAUGGCAGAUACAGAGGGCAGCAAGACCGCGAGGUGGAGCGAAUCCCAGAAAGUCUGUCGUAGUCCGGAUUGGAGUCUGCAACUCGACUCCAUGAAGUCGGAAUCGCUAGUAAUCGUGGAUCAGAAUGCCACGGUGAAUACGUUCCCGGGCCUUGUACACACCGCCCGUCACACCAUGGGAGUGGGUUGCAAAAGAAGUAGCUAGUCUAACCUUCGGGAGGACGGUUACCACUUUGUGAUUCAUGACUGGGGUGAAGUCGUAACAAGGUAACCCUAGGGGAACCUGGGGCUGGAUCACCUCCUUUCU